rnacentral:rRNA from 1 species
GGAAUAUUGGUCAAUGGACGAGAGUCUGAACCAGCCAAGUAGCGUGAAGGAUGACUGCCCUAUGGGUUGUAAACUUCUUUUGCCGGGGAGCAACGGGGUCCUUGCGAGGGCCCAAUGAGAGUACCCGGAGAAAAAGCAUCGGCUAACUCCGUGCCAGCAGCCGCGGUAAUACGGAGGAUGCGAGCGUUAUCCGGAUUUAUUGGGUUUAAAGGGUGCGUAGGCGGGCUGUUAAGUCAGCGGUCAAAUGUCGGGGCUCAACCCCGGCCUGCCGUUGAAACUGGCGGCCUCGAGUGGGCGAGAAGUAUGCGGAAUGCGUGGUGUAGCGGUGAAAUGCAUAGAUAUCACGCAGAACUCCGAUUGCGAAGGCAGCAUACCGGCGCCCUACUGACGCUGAGGCACGAAAGCGUGGGUAUCGAACAG